AACGGGUGAGUAACGCGUGAGGAACCUGCCUCAAAGAGGGGGACAACAGUUGGAAACGACUGCUAGUACCGCAUAAGCCCACGGGUCGGCAUCGACCAGAGGGAAAAGGAGCAAUCCGCUUUGAGAUGGCCUCGCGUCCGAUUAGCUGGUUGGUGAGGUAAUGGCCCACCAAGGCAACGAUCGGUAGCCGGACUGAGAGGUUGAACGGCCACAUUGGGACUGAGACACGGCCCAGACUCCUACGGGAGGCAGCAUG
rnacentral:rRNA from 1 species